rnacentral:rRNA from 1 species
UAAGACGAACCGAGCGAACGUUGUUCGGAAUAACUGGGCUUAAAGGGCGCGUAGGCGGGCCGCCAAGUUCGAGGUGAAAUCCUCCGGCUCAACCGGAGAACUGCCUCGAAUACUGGAGGCCUCGAGGCGGGUAGGGGCAUGCGGAACUGUGGGUGGAGCGGUGAAAUGCGUUGAUAUCCACAGGAACUCCGGUGGCGAAGGCGGCAUGCUGGACCCGAUCUGACGCUGAGGCGCGAAAGCCAGGGGAGCAAACGGGAUUAGAUACCCCGGUAGUCCUGGCCCUAAACGAUGGGUACUAGGUAGUAGACUUGACAUGGGUUUACUGCCGGAGCUAAAGUGCUAAGUACCCCGCCUGGGGAGUAUGGUCGCAAGGCUG